UUCUAUAUAUCAGAUUGUGAUGCAUCAGAGAUUGUAUUUUGACACAAAACGAGUACGAACCAGAGCACAUUCCACGAAAUGAAUAUGAUGAAUUUGACAUCAUAAGGGUGGAGGUGUAAGAAAAAAUUAUAGUUGAGGGGAAGGGUAGAUAUAAUUAUCCAAAUAAGAGGAAUUUUUUCGUAAAUUAACAAUACAUAAGAGGUUGGUUGUAAUUCACCCUAAUGAAAAAUAGAAAAUAGAAAAUAAAUGAAUAUGUUUGCACCUGCCUAGGGUUUUCACUCUGUCUCGCUUAGGUAUUUCAUUCUCCCGAUUUCCGUUCAUCCUCUCUGAGGUAUCGUUAUGAUUUUUAUUUCUGUAAAUUA
rnacentral:lncRNA from 1 species